AUACGUAGGGGGCGAGCGUUGUCCGGAAUUAUUGGGCGUAAAGGGUUCGCAGGCGGUCUGAUAAGUCAGAUGUGAAAGGCAAUGGCUCAACCAUUGUAAGCAUUUGAAACUGUCAGACUUGAGUUAAGGAGAGGAAAGUGGAAUUCCUAGUGUAGCGGUGAAAUGCGUAGAUAUUAGGAGGAAUACCAGUGGCGAAGGCGACUUUCUGGACUUAUACUGACGCUGAGGAACGAAAGCGUGGGGAGCAAACAGGAUUAGAUACCCUGGUAGUCCACGCCGUAAACGAUGAGUGCUAGGUGUUGGGGGUCAAACCUCGGUGCCGCAGCUAACGCAUUAAGCACUCCGCCUGGGGAGUACGUACGCAAGUAUGAAACUCAAAUGAAUUGACGGGG
rnacentral:rRNA from 1 species